CGGUAACCACCCACGGGAGAGCAGGGCAGCGUCCGGGAAAGCAUCCUGAGGGUUCUAGCUCCCGAGGCCACCUUACACAGUGACCACGCACAUGGUGACCCCUGGAGUUGACUUUGUCACCCGUGUUGGAGAGGAAGGAUGACUGCAAGGAGCAAGCCCUUGAGUAGCAUAGAAUCUUAAAUUUGAUUGAAGAUAAACCGCUGAAGUCCCGUGGGGAAGCAGGACAGGAAACAAAGUUUGGUAAAGAAGUCUGGAGGCAUUUCAGAGAGUCCAUGUCCCAAGAAACUAUGAUCUUUCUACCUUACUAUUGUUUUUACCCUCAGAGUUGCCUCAAGUUACACAACAACCGUACCUCUUCCCACCAUUACAUCCGCACGCCAGGCAGCAGAGAAGAGCGAGGACAAGAAGAGCGUGCUUGCCGGCCGAGCCAUCCCUCCUCAAUGGCUCCCGCAGGACUCCACCCAGCUCCUUCCACUGAAAUCUCAUUGGCCAGUCCCGCAAAGGAGGCUGGUGCUAUGGUCAGAAUGUGUAUGCCCUUCCAAAAUUCAUAAGUUGAAAUCCUAACUCCCAGUAGUAGGAGGUGGGGACUUUGGCAGGGACUUAAAUCAUGAAGGUAGAGCCUUCAUGACCAGGAUUAGUGCCUUAUCAAGGAGGCUCUGGAGAGACUCCAGCCCCUUCCACCACCUGAGCAGUAGCAGGAAGAUGGCGGCUCUAUACCAGGCAGAGGGCCCAACCAUGCUGGUGUCUUGGUCUGGGAUUCCUAGCCCGCCAAAUUAUGAGAAAUACAAUUUUGUUUUUAUGAGCUACCCAGUCUGAGGUAUUUUGCUAGAGCAGCCCAAACAGAUUAAGUCAGCUGAGAAACCUAAUUUUGGGCUGGGUACUUUGCCAUCCUUCAGGUUGUGUUUAUAAAGAAGAGGAAACUGGCAGCUGGCAGUUUCUGCCACAGUUGGCAGAAGAAAUGGAGUCCUUCUAGAAAGUAAGUGUGUGAGCACAUCCAGAUCAGUUUAUUCCAUGACAUCGUGAGAGGCAACCAGAUCACCCUGAUGGAGGAGACUAAUAGGAAUCCUGGAAUCAGAAGUUAGCACAUUGGUGAUUUCUGGGCCCUCGGCCUCUGUUCCCCCAAAGAAACUAAAAUCCACCUUUCCCUGGGCAGUUAUCAAGAAGACCCUGAGUUUAUGCGAACAUGACCUAAAAUGAUCUAGACCUGGGGACAUCAAACCACAGCCCCUCCACCUAGAUUAGAUUCCUCUUUCAAUCUUCUCAACCUACGCCAUUCUCCUGCACACCUUGUCUUGAAAAUCACAGUAAAAAUGGAGAUGAACUCACUCCCAUCACCUCCUGCAAGUCUGUAAAGGUAUUUAUCUCCAAAAACAUCCUGACUUUGUCCUCCCUUCCCCCCAAAGGAAGUGAGAAUUGCCUCCCGUCUAAGCAUAAUCUCCACCUACAGCACAAAUGCCAACCCCACUUCAACCCUCGGUCAUCAGUUAUGCCCUUUCCUCCCCUCCACCAGCUCCUCUUCUUAGUUCAUGAAUCAGAGGUCCCUCCUACAGUGGUCCCUCCAUCCUAGACUGCCUCUAGCUCUCUCCCUUCAAAACCCAGCUACCUGAAGGAGUCUCUCGUUUCUCCACUUUCUCACGUUCCAUUCAUACUUCAGUCCACUGCAGUCUGGUCUCCACUGUCCCUCCACAGGGCACUGUCUCAGGAAGCACUGCCAACCCGGUUGCCAACUUCAACAGUCACUCCUAGUUUCUAUCUCACUUUGCCCAGCAGUUGACUCUAUGGAUCAUUCUUCCUUCUUAAAACUUCUCUCUCAAUGUCUAUGAACCUACUUUCCUCUGUCUCCCUUCCUCUCAGGUCUGACCUAUUUUGCCUCCUGCCUUCUGCCUGCUCUUUAAAAUCCUCCUGUUUCCCAGGAUUUGGUUAUUUAUCCUCAUCAUGCUCUCAUGUCAUCCCAUGGCCAUUCUAGCCACAUCCACGGACAGAAUGAUGGCUCCCAAAUCUUUAUUGCAACUCAUGCACUGUGCUAGCCUUGAGUCAGAUUUCCAAUUUCCCACAAAGUGUGUGCGCUUCAAUGACCUACAGGCACCUCAAGUUUAACGUUCCAGAACCAAGUUCAUUACCUUUUCUUCCUGUUCCUUGCCUCAGGAAAUGACACCACCGUCUCCCCAGGUCACUCACUGAACAUUAUCCUAGACCCCUCCUCACCCUCUACGUCCAAUCAACAGCCACUGUAGAAUUCACCAUCGUGACCCCCUUGCCUCUCUGUUCCCUCCCUCACCUCCGUUGCCAUGAAUGCCACCUUAGUCCAGGACCUGGUCAUCUCCCAUAUCCACUAUUGCAAUUGCCUCUUAGCUGAUUCCUUGUCUCUGGUCUUCCCCACUCCAACCAUCCUCCAGACGACUCUCAAAGCAAUCUUUAAAAAUUGGAAAUCUGAGCUUCACACUCUAAUCAAAAACCCUUUUGUGGCUCCCCACUGUGGGCAGAUAAAGAGCAAACAUGUUAGCAUUUGAGGCAUACACUGGCCCUGCCUGUCUCUCCAGACUUGUUUCUAGUAAUUCUCCACCCCUUUAAAAUCUAUUCUGCAUUUAUACCCACUCACAUUCACCAAACACACUAUGGUAUUCUGUCCUUGUGCCUUUAUACGUGCAGUCCCGUGUUAAGGACUACCUGCCCUCACUUGUUGGCCUAGAGAAGUCCCGUUCUUCCUUGUAUGGUCACUAUGGUGAAGCCUCACAUAACCACGCUCACCGGAGUGAAACAGCUGGCAUCUUCCUUUGUAUAGUCUGUUCAAAACCAUGUUGAACCAUGAUGUAACUCUUCACUUUCAGAACUGCGUCUCCUACUAGACUAUAAGGUUCUUAAGGGCAAAGCUUGUAAAGUUUGCGUCUCCCGGUCCUGGUCAUAUCAUCAGCAUGUAGCAUCCUGCUACUAGAUUGCUAUUGGAAUUGAGCUUUGCUAUUGUUAUUAGAUCAAUGCUAUUUGAAUAUAAAUAGAAAUGAAUGUCCACAAUUUAAAUCUCAAUAUUUAAGAUGCACAAUUCCAAAAUAAAGAUGUUUCUGUAGUAAUAAGAUUUUGGUAAAAAACAAAAAAUAAGAGCUCUAAAAAGAGGAAACAAUUUCAUCUACAUAGUAUGAUUUAACUACACCCCAGACGGAAGGCAAGAUAAAUGGUAUUGCUAUUUAAUAAGGUCCUUCUCAAUUUUGUGAUCAAUCAAAUCAACUCUAUAAUUUUUAGCAAGCUGUCCCAGCCCACUUUAAUAUGAAUUCUGUUUUUUUUUUUUUAUUUAAGUGGUCAGUUCAGCAGGGUAUGGCAGAAACAGCACAUCUUCGAACAUCAGAAAAACCAAGAUCUGAAUCAAAGUUCAGUCUCUUAAUUGUAUUAUGACUUGGAGAUAUUUAAUCUUUUGAAGCUCGGUUUUUUCAAUGGUCAUCCGGGCUAGUUGAAGCAAUUCACCCAAACACUUCACACUUCGGUACCCUGUACAUAGUGACUGCUCAAUGAUGU